AGUGAACGCUGGCGGUAGGCCUAACACAUGCAAGUCGAACGGCAGCACAGAGGAGCUUGCUCCUUGGGUGGCGAGUGGCGGUCGGGUGAGGAAUACAUCGGAAUCUACUCUGUCGUGGGGGAUAACGUAGGGAAACCUACGCUAAUACCGCAUACGACCUACGGGUGAAAGCAGGGGACCUUCGGGCCUUGCGCGAUUGAAUGAGCCGAUGUCGGAUUAGCUAGUUGGCGGGGUAACGGCCCACCAAGGCGACGAUCCGUAGCUGGUCUGAGAGGAUGAUCAGCCACACUGGAACUGAGACGCGGUCCAGACUCCUACGAGAGGCAGCAGUGGGGAAUAUUGGACAAUGGGCGCAAGCCUGAUCCAGCCAUACCGCGUGGGUGAAGAAGGCCUUCGGGUUGUAAAGCCCUUUUGUUGGGAAAGAAAUCCAGCUGGCUAAUACCCGGUUGGGAUGACGGUACCCAAAGAAUAAGCACCGGCUAACUCCGUGCCAGCAGCCGCCGUAA
rnacentral:rRNA from 1 species